GGCACAUGGAAAAGUAUACAUGGAGAGAUGUCAAUUAACAACUUGUAGGCAAUCAUUGAUAGGAACCAUGAAUAUGACACAUGAGACAGCAGCAAGAAGAGUUUGAAGCAUAUUAAAACAAUGACCUGAUAUGGAGGAACGGCUACCCUGCAAGAAACCAGACGGAAACAGGUCAAAGAAAACACACCAUUUUUUUUCU
rnacentral:lncRNA from 1 species